GCCAGACUCCUACGGGAGGCAGCAGUGGGGAAUAUUGCACAAUGGGGGAAACCCUGAUGCAGCGACGCCGCGUGAAGGAUGAAGUAUUUCGGUAUGUAAACUUCUAUCAGCAGGGAAGAAAAUGACGGUACCUGACUAAGAAGCCCCGGCUAACUACGUGCCAGCAGCCGCGGUAAUACGUAGGGGGCAAGCGUUAUCCGGAUUUACUGGGUGUAAAGGGGGCGCAGGCGGCCUUGCAAGUCUGAUGUGAAAGGCCGGGGCCCAACCCCGGGACUGCAUUGGAAACUGCGAGGCUGGAGUGUCGGAGAGGCAGGCGGAAUUCCUAGUGUAGUGGUGAAAUGCGUAGAUAUUAGGAGGAACACCAGUGGCGAAGGCGGCCUGCUGGACGAUGACUGACGCUGAGGCUCGAAAGCGUGGGGAGCAAACAGGAUUAGAUACCCCAGUA
rnacentral:rRNA from 1 species